CAGUCGCCGCGGUAAUACGGAGGGGGCUAGCGUUGCUCGGAAUUACUGGGCGUAAAGCGCACGUAGGCGGUUAUUCAAGCCAGAGGUGAAAGCCCGGGGCUCAACCCCGGAACUGCCUUUGAAACUAGAUGACUAGAAUCUUGGAGAGGCGAGUGGAAUUCCGAGUGUAGAGGUGAAAUUCGUAGAUAUUCGGAAGAACACCAGUGGCGAAGGCGACUCGCUGGACAAGUAUUGACGCUGAGGUGCGAAAGCGUGGGGAGCAAACAGGAUUAGAUACCCCCGUAGUCCCUGUCUCUUAUAC
rnacentral:rRNA from 1 species